UACAGAGGCCCCGAGCGUUAGUCGGAAUCACUGGGCUUAAAGGGUGCGUAGGCGGAUCGGUAAGUGUUCUGUGAAAGCCCCCGGCUCAACCGGGGAACCGCAGGGCAUACUGCCGAUCUUGAGGAAGCUAGAGGCCGGCGGAACGAUAGGUGGAGCGGUGGAAUGCGUAGAGAUCUAUCGGAACGCCAAUGGUGAAGACAGCCGGCUGGGGCUUUCCUGACGCUGAGGCACGAAAGCGUGGGGAGCAAAC
rnacentral:rRNA from 1 species